CUAAAAGCUUAAAAAAAUCAAAUCGGAAAAUCAGAGAGAUAAUCAGCCAAGAAACCCAAUCAAGGCGGCCAAAAACGAAUCAUCAGAUAAAUAAGCAGACGAUAUUUUGGUAAUUCAAGGCCUGGAAAUUUUGGAUAAGUCGCUUUAUCGAUUUGACCAGCAUUAGAAUCUUUGCAUCAUAUUUUGUUGAACAAGAGAAC